GUUGGAAUGGAAGGACGUGUAUUGACCGAGUCAAUGGUUAUGUCUGUAGUUGCGAAGCCGGAUACGCAGGGCUUCGUUGCCAAACGGCACUGAGGUCGUGCAAAGAAGUUUAUGAUGAAAACAAGUCAAACACAUGCACAGGCAGCAAGAUUGUCACAGUUAUCACUGGUGGUCAGUCAGUAUCUGUUUACUGUCAUAUGGGGAAUUUUAGAUGUGGGGAUGGGGUUUGAACGACUGUCAUGAAAAUUGAUGGUAACAAGAAAACAUUCCAUUACAAUUCUGGGCAUUGGUUAAAUCAAAAUCAUUACAACCUUGCUGGAGGAGAGACUUGAUUUGACAAGAAACCAAAUUGCCCACCUACUGGGACACACCCUUCAACAAGAUCUGUUUUGGGAUGAAUUUAGGUGGACUAAGUCGAUUCUUUUGCUAUCGAAAGGAAGGCAUCUUCCCUGUACGCGCUGAUCGCUGAUGAACAAUAUCGCGUGACUUCACUGGGUCGUGGGAAAUGGAAAUCGCUUCUCGGCUCGGAAGCAUCUUUACAACCAAACUGCAACAAGGAGGGAUUCAAUGCGGGUUGUUGUUAUGCUCAAGGUUGCGUGAGAGUAAGGAUCGGCAUCGCUUCCAAUGAAAAAGAUGACUGUGAUUCUGGACAGUUUCUUUUAUGCUUAGAGCACUUAAAUUGAUGUGAUGUCCCUUGUAAGACAUAGUAAUUUCAGAGGGAUACUGCCAAGUGAGUUCGCUACGGUUUCAAGGCUUAGACUGCUACUGCACGAUAAACACAUGAUAAGAGCAGUGUCUACCUAUAUUUACAUUCCAAGGAUAUUAUAAAGAUUAAUCAAACAUUUCCUAAGACAUCAUUUGUUUCAUAAAUGUCAAGGCUUCCCAAAGCCUAGCUUCAGGAGAACAACGCGCUUUGACAAAAUGUCCUUCGAUGUUAAAAGCAGAAGUGGUCGUUUUUGUAAAAAUUACGUUUUC